rnacentral:rRNA from 1 species
UACGGGGGGGAGCAAGCGUUGUUCGGAUUUACUGGGCGUAAAGGGCGCGUAGGCGGCCUCCGCAAGUCAGUUGUGAAAUCUCCGAGCUUAACUCGGAAAGGUCAACUGAUACUGCGGGGCUAGAGUGCGGAAGGGGCAACUGGAAUUCUUGGUGUAGCGGUGAAAUGCGUAGAUAUCGGGAAGAACACCCGUGGCGAAGGCGGUUCUCUGGGCCGGUACUGACGCUGAGACGCGAAAGCGUGGGGAGCGAACAGG